GCUGUGCCACCCAGGCGCCCCUGGUAAAUGCAAUUUUUGAUAAAUGAUACAUGUUUUGAUGAAUUAACAGAGAUGUUCUUUUGGUAAUUCAAAAACUGAAAAUAAGCUUUUAUCUCAGCCUCUUAUAAAGAAGCUGAUUGUCAGGCUGCUGGGAGAAUCAUGUUUCCACAGUGGGUGGUGGCUCCUGUUAGUACUGGAAAUAUUAUUGGUAAAGGUGAAUCCAGUACAACUAGCUAAUCUGUGCCUGGUGCCAGUAAAGAAGGUUAGUUGAAUUGUUGAAUUGUCACAUACUGAAGAAGAGAAAAAAAAAAAAAAAAGAAAGAAAGAAAUGAAGAAAGAAAGAAAAGGUUGAAUGUAGCCUAAUCUAUUGUUCUGUUCAAACAAAAUUUGCAGUGAAAUGAGUAUAAAGCAGAUCACAGGAGGAAAAGGAUAAGAGUAAUGAAAAAAGGAUAAGAAUAAUGAAAAUAUGGGGACAUUUUAUUUUCUGCAUACUUUUGACUGUGUAUAAAGAUCAAUUACUUGCUAAGAGUUAUUUUCCUUCCUUGAGAUUACCUUAAAAUAACUAUAAAACUUUAUCAUGCUGGUAAGGAAAUGCCAAAUAUAGAUGAUUUAUUUUAUAUGUAUAGAUUAUUUGCCAAAGAGUUGAUUUCACUACUGUAGAUUGUUGUAGGUUAUGUAAAACUUCAUUUUAGAGGAUUAAUUAAAAUAUUUGAAAAAUUGAUGCACAGGUGCAAAAUUCGAGAUUUGAAAGCAGUGCAUUAGAAAGCAUCUUCCCCCAGACAUUGAGUUCUCCUGCCCGGAGGCAACCCUGUUGAUGAUUUAUUGGAUUCCUUUCACAGACAAGUUAUGCAUAUAAAAACAUACCUAUUUAGUCUUAAAAAAAUCCAAGUUGCAGCCUACUAGUCACAUCCUAUGCCUUGCUUUUUUUCACUUAAUGCAACUUAGAGAUCAUUCAGAAAGAGCAGUCAAGGCAGGCCUAUUUGAAUUUAUGUCCCUACAUGCCCAGCUCCCUUUACUUAUUCCUCCCUUUCUCUGUUUUGUUUCCAUAGCUCUCAUUACUUUCUAUCGCACUGUAAUUGAAUGAUUUACUAUGUUUAUUGUUUGUCUUUCCCCUGGAUUGCAGGAGCCAUGGGGACAAAGAAUUUUUGUGCCAUUUGUGGUCUGCUGUGUUUGUAACACCUAGAAUGGUGACUGGCACAUAGCAGGGUCUCCAUAAAUAUUGUUGAAUGAAUGAGUGAAUGAGUGUUUCAAAGGAAAAAUGAUGCAUUGGUAAAAACCCAGAGAGAAAUAUGUAGAAAUUUAAGAUCUUUGAAACCAUUCAUGUAAAAACUGUAUUGAUGUGAUUAAACCCGCUCUUCACCAGCAGAAGUGGAAAGCUCAAGUAACUGUCUCUGCUGAUUGCCAAACAUUUUUGUGCUAAAAUCAUUCAGAAAAGGCCAAUGCCUCUGGCUACUUAUCUCUUGCUAUUCCCAGAGUUCUGCCUUUUUUUCUUCCCCCAGACUUCUUUUUCAGCUAUAACCUUUUCAUUUAAUUACUUCCCUCCCAGCUCCAUAUCUCCUAUGUCUUCAGUAGCAUUUUGUGAAAAUGUAAUGGAGUUCCUGGGUCUUUUUUCUGAAAGCAUCUUUGUAGUGAGAUAUCUCACUAAGUCCCAGCAGUUAGCACUUGUAAACAGGCUGUGGAAGGAUGUCCAGCAUUCAUUAUAGAAAAGGAAGGAGAGCCUACCGUCUUUGCGUUUUGGGACCUUACAGGAGGCGCUGAAAGGGUUUGGUUUCAUCAGAACAGUCACCUGUGUUUUUAUAUAAUGAUCACAGGAAAAAGGGAUGUUGGACAGAUGCUUUCAAAUGGCCUAAGUAAAAAAAUAUUUGGAAUCAUUAAAAAAAAAGGAGGCGGAGGAAAACAAAAUAAAUGGCUUGCUCUCCUGGUCACCUUUAGGUAGAUAUCUGAUUUGGUGGGGCCAGUGGCUAUUUAGAAUAUUCUUAAUUUGUGCUUUCUUGCAUUUUGAUUACCUAAUGGAUUUGAUACAUGAGAAAGGCCACACGGGAAAGAAUACUUGGAGGCAGUGGAGGGGCAACUGCUGCCGAAGGGUCUGCCCAGUGGAUCUUGGAACAGAAUCAGGAUCCUUCCCUGCUUGAACAACAGAAGCAGUAAGUGCUGAGAGCUGACCCGGACCAGACCGAGGCCUUAUCUCAGCUGUGCGCCCACAGACUGACUUCGCAUUUGGAUGUUCGUAUGUUGUAGUUACUAUUGUUUCUGCGUGGAAAGGUCUUUGCUCAGAGCUACAAGUGACUGCCUCAUUAUUCUGGUCUCAGCUCGGCUUCUCUUCUUGUUGCCUUUAAUGACCCUCUUACUCAAAUUAGCUCUCCCAUCCAUCACCGUUCAGAGAUAGAGACAGCCAGCGAGAGAGGGAACACAAGCAGGGGGAGUGGGAGAGGAAGAAG